AGUGGGACCAAGUUUGGUGGGCCAUUUUCUGGUCUGUAGCCAAGAACAGGAGUCCUUUAGUUUGCCUCCUGAAUGAGGGCCUGCU
rfam:Macaca mulatta chromosome 3, whole genome shotgun sequence.